GACGAACGCUGGCGGCGUGCUUAACACAUGCAAGUCGAACGGUGAAGCGCCUUCCUUUUUGGUGGGUGUGGAUGAGUGGCGAACGGGUGAGUAACACGUGAGUAACCUGCCCCCUUCUUCUGGAUAACCGCAUGAAAGUGUGGCUAAUACGGGAUAUUCUGGGUCUGUCGCAUGAUGGGUCUGGGAAAGAUAUUGUUUCGGUGGGGGAUGGGCUCGCGGCCUAUCAGCUUGUUGGUGGGGUGAUGGCCUACCAAGGCGGUGACGGGUAGCCGGCCUGAGAGGGUGGACGGUCACACUGGGACUGAGACACGGCCCAGACUCCUACGGGAGGCAGCAGUGGGGAAUAUUGCACAAUGGGCGCAAGCCUGAUGCAGCGACGCCGCGUGAGGGAUGGAGGCCUUCGGGUUGUGAACCUCUUUCGCCAGUGAAGCAGGCCUGCCUCGUUUGUGGGUGGGUUGACGGUAGCUGGAUAAGAAGCGACGGCUAACUACGUG
rnacentral:rRNA from 1 species